rnacentral:rRNA from 1 species
UACGGAGGGUGCAAGCGUUAUCCGGAUUCACUGGGUUUAAAGGGUGCGUAGGCGGGUUGGUAAGUCCGUGGUGAAAUCUCCGAGCUUAACUCGGAAACUGCCGUGGAUACUAUCAAUCUUGAAUAUCGUGGAGGUAAGCGGAAUAUGUAUGUAGCGGUGAAAUGCUUAGAUAUGACAUAGAACACCAAUUGCGUAGGCAGCUUACUACACGAUGAUUGACGCUGAGGCACGAAAGCGUGGGGAGCAAACAGG